rnacentral:lncRNA from 1 species
UUAAAAAGUUUGAUGUUGUUGCUAAACAGGAACUGGUUGAUUUAUUGAAUCAUUGGUAAAAACUGGAAUUACUGAUGAUACUUGAUGAUGAUGUUUAGGGGACUGAGAAUUCUUCUUCACAAGGGGGCUUCUCUGUCUUCCUGUUGUUACUGCAUUUGCUUCCCUUUCCUUCCUCUUGGAGAAACUACCACAGUACAUCUUGCUCGCCGAUGCUUCAUCUUUG